GCUAUAUAUUUUUCACUAGUGCAGUAUGCAUUUUGUUUGAAAUCUAUCUAAAAAAAUUUUGCUAUCCGUCUGAAAUCCGUCUCAAAUCAAAUGAAAGUAAGACAAAUUUGGUUGGCAAUAUUUGUCUCAAUUUCGUCUUAAAUUUGUCUGAAAUAAUUUCGGACGGAUUUCAGACGAACAUUUCAAUUAGCAACGAGGGUUUUUCGGACGUGACACAAUCCGUCCGAAUUUUUUCUGAACCCUUCUUUCCGUCCAAAAUUUGUCCGAAAUCCAUCUCUAAUCCGCCUGAAAUUCCGUCCGAAAACCCCAAAUUUCUAGUAGUG
rnacentral:lncRNA from 1 species